AACGAACGCUGGCGGCAUGCCUAACACAUGCAAGUCGAACGAGACCUUCGGGUCUAGUGGCGCACGGGUGCGUAACGCGUGGGAACCUGCCCUUAGGUUCGGAAUAACUCCCCGAAAGGGGUGCUAAUACCGGAUAAUGUCUUCGGACCAAAGAUUUAUCGCCUUUGGAUGGGCCCGCGUUGGAUUAGCUAGUUGGUAGGGUAAAAGCCUACCAAGGCGACGAUCCAUAGCUGGUCUGAGAGGAUGAUCAGCCACACUGGGUCUGAGACACGGCCCAGACUCCUACGGGAGGCAGCAGUCGGGAAUAUUGGACAAUGGGCGAAAGCCUGAUCCAGCAAUGCCGCGUGAGUGAUGAAGGCCUUAGGGUUGUAAAGCUCUUUUACCCGGGAUGAUAAUGACAGUACCGGGAGAAUAAGCUCCGGCUAACUCCGUG
rnacentral:rRNA from 1 species